GUUGCUGCUUUUCAGGCUGCUCUGAAGGUAUCCUGUCCUUUCCCUCUUCCUUCCCCCUGCACUGGCCCAGUGUUCUGCUGCUACUGUCACCUGCUUGAAGACCAAUAGUCUUCAAAACUCCUCAUCUUGGAGUAACUCCUGAGCACAACCUGGGCUCCUGGGUUCAGCAUCAGCUGUGCCUGUGGGAUAUUGGAUCUGAGUCUUCAACUUCCACCCCGAGUUGUAGAGUGAUCCAGGACACCAAAAAGGGCCUGACUGUUCCUUUUCCGUCCCGCGCCGCAGCGCUGCUCUCUCCCCGCGGCGGUGGCGCCUCCCCGCCCGUUCCACGGCCGCUCAGCGACGCUGCACGGACCGGACCGCCCCUACUUCCGCGUUUGUGUGCGCAUGCGUGGUACCGCCUAGCGAACAGCACACCGUACCGACGGGACUGACGGCACUGAGCGCCGGAAGCAAAGCUGCCCUACUUCCACGUCUGCGGGCGCGCGCCUUGUACUUCCGUAAGAAUCUUUUACCAUAGAGACCGGCGGCGCAGAGCAGCAGCGGUAAAGAAACGCCACUUCCGCAUUUCUGUGGCGCGCGGGUUGCUGCCUAGCAGACGGGUGACCAUAGAGCCUGGAGGACUGGAGACAAAGGCAGGCGUUUACUGGAGCACGCGCAGUAGCGAUUGGACGAGCAGAUGCCAUACAUCCGGAAGCCGCGGUUCGAUGCGGAGCGGCCUGGCGCUGCCGGACAGCGGAGCGGACGGGGCAGAGGGAGCCGAACCGGCCCGUUCCCGGGGUUCGCUCGGGCACGCAGGACGGAGCUCCGGGAGCCGGAAGGCGUUGGGCGCUGACGCAGCUCCUGGUCUGAGCUGCGGGGCUCGGGACGGGGGGAGCUGGGAGCACAUAGAGCUGUUUUUAAGGGGCGCGUGGGGCGGCUGCUGCUGCAUCCGUUCUCUUAAGGCUGAGCGCGCUCGCCGACCGGCGAUCCGUUGAUUCUUUCUGUGCUCGGGAGCGUUUUGCCGGGAGGAGCUGCGGUUUUAGCGGAGGGUUCGGCUGUCUCCGGAUGUGCUCGGCCGCGGAGCGAGGAUUUGGGAGUUUGUAGCGAUCAAAGCUUUCCGGAGGCAGCCAAACGCACUGCGGAGCUCCUUGUACCCUCAGGGCCUCCUGGCACCGCCCGGAGAAUCCUCAGGCACUUUCCCGGGGCAGCCGCCCCCCGGUCAGACACCACCAAAGCUCUGCUCCUCCAGGCCCCACCGAGCCUUCCUGCGGGGCUUCCAAGGGCCCACUGUAGAGACUGAGGCACUCUACAACACUGGUGGAACCCGGUGCCCUCUGAUGGGACCUGAAGAUCACCCAGGGCCUCAUGGUGAUCUCCAGAGACACCCGGACACGUCCCAGUGCUGUUGGAGCACCUGCUGUCUGCUCAGUGCCAUUCUCGCCUCCCCCAGCUCCAACAGCACACACACACACGGGGCAGAGCCAUCCAUGCCAUGUACUCACAUCCCAUCCUCCAUUAUCAGGAGCUGCACCCAACCACACACCCCACCUCCAACAACAACAGACAUCAGCUGUAACGAAUCAGGAAACUUUAUAUACCUGGAAAAAAGUCCCUCCACCCCAAAACCAUCUUAAUUAAGGAGACUCCUUGUGCCACAACACCCCUAACUCUGACUGCAGUAGCCCCUCCAUGACCAAGAUCAAUCCCUGGAGCAGCUCCUCACCCCUCCAUCCCUGCAGAGCCUCAGGCUGGACUUGCUGUGAUCCACAGUGCUCCUGCAGCUUGGCCAUGCUGUUGGAUGAUGUGGUGCAGCCAGGUGCCUGACAUUGCACAGCACCGUGGCAGCCCAAGGAGGCAUCACAUUGUGUUUCCUGGAAGAUGGCAGAGCAGAGCAGGCCUCAGGCAGCCUCCACUGGGAGCCCGCAGCUGCGGCCUCAGCCCAAGGUGCUGCAGGCGGAGCAUAAGCCCACAAGAGCUCAGCCAGUCACGUGGGUUCCCUCACUGCCCGCAUAGUAGAGCCCUGCAGGGACAAACAGGUUAGCAGAGUGGUGGCCACCAGCCGUAUGUGGCCACCAUUAUGGCCAGGUGGCCGUGACCCCAUGAUGAUAACUCAUCAUGGCCAAACUGCAGGGGUCGGGCUGGACACCCAGCACAGGGCUGAGAGGAUGUGGUGGGUAAGGGUCAGCUCCAUUGGGGUUCCUAUGUGGCCUUCAGCGUGUACCAUUACACCUCUGCAUGUCCUUGGGGUCCCUCCAUGGGGGUAUGAGUUCACUUCAAGCACAAUCAGUCCUCUGGAAGCUUUUAUGUAGCUGUGGGUUCCUACACUUAGCCUUAGGUUCUCACCAUAGGACCUAAGGAUCCCCAUGAGCAAAAUCAGCUCAGCAGAAGCUUCUAUAGGGCCAUAGGGUUCCCACGAGGGGGUCCUUUCACACAGGGCACAGUUCCUAUAGGAGCUUCCACUGGGCCUUGGCAUCCCCAGCAUUAGGUUUUGAGCUUCCCCCGGCCAGGCUCCUUCUCCACAAGGUUCCCCUGGCUCCAAGCAUACCUUAGCCCGCAUGGUGAUGCUAAGCAGGAGGUGGAAGCCAGGCCUGGAGGGGUGUGGUGCACCAUGGGGGCGCAGCGAACCCCUCUGGCAGCCCCAGAAUUGCAAAGAGUAGGAAGACAACAGGAACUGGUGGGGUCUUGGCAGGGAGACAGAGGAUCUUGGAAAGGUAGCUGCUUCCAAGAUGGCCGCUCCACCUCCAAAAUGGCAGUGAUGAUCCCACAUUGCUGGACCAUGCAGGGGUUCCACCAGCACUCCACAGGGAGCUUCCUUGAGCUGCACAAGGCAGCGCGGCGGGACGAUCUUGGUCGAGGCUUUGACGUGGUGGGCUCAGCCACGGGGGGGCUGCAGGCCGGCAGAGAGAAAGUGCUGGGGCUCACCAGGCAGGAUGGUGACUGGCAGCGGCGGAGUGGUGAAAGGACCCCACAGUGGAGUAUGGGAAGCCAGCAGGGUGGCCCUGGGGAGACGGGGGCAUUCGUGGGCACAGGGACACCCUGGGUGCCCACAAAGCAUACCACCAACCCCCCCCUGCACCACUCACCUGUGGGCCAGACUGGGGGUGGAGCCUGGAGAUGGGGCUGUGGGGGAGAGGGGCGGGGUCAGAGGAGAAAGGCGAGGCUGGAAAUGGGUGGAGUCAAGAGAGCAGUGGGGAAGCCAAGGGGCGUGGCUAGGGAGUGGGCAUAGCGAUCAGGGGUGUGCAGGGGAGGGGCUCUGGGCAGGGGGCACGGCUACAGGCACAGGGAUAAAAGGGUUGGGCUGGAUAAAUACGAAGGUGAGGUGUGCAGCUAAAAGGGAUGUGGUUUAGGAGCCUGGUGGUGGGCACAGCUGGGAGAGGAGAUGGCACUGGCAGCAGAUUUGGGGGCUCACCCAGCCACGUCGGGGUGCUGCUGGCCGAGGGGAGUUCCAGUGAGGCCAAGCGGCUGUAUUAUGGAGGGGGAGCACAUUUGAGGGGAAAAGACACAAAUCUGAGGGUGUUUCCCCCAGUUUCUGCAAGAGGGCAAUGUGGGAGCCCUGCUCACCUCACCACCUGCCCACUGAGCUGCCGCCGAGGCUGUGGGGUGACUGGAGCAGACAGAGACCUUUUAAUGAGGUUCCUCUUGAAAUUGGGGGUUUAUUCCCAUCUGUGAGCGGCCGUUGCGAGGUCCUGCCCGCCCCUCAGGUGCCUGUGGGGAGAAGCGGCCGUUCGAGCGGUGAGGUGAGCGGCGCCCCCUCAGAGCACCGCGGCGGCCUCACCUCCUCCUCCCGGCCCGGGCCCGGCGUCCGCCUUGUCGCAGGAAUGGGCUCGCUGCCUCCGCUGGGGCUUCGGGGGGGGCAGCUGGCGGCUCCUGUCCGAGGUCCCUGCGAGAGAGAGAUCCGGCAUCCCACAGUGCCCCGGGAACAUUGCCUGAACCCCUCCGGCAUGCCAGCGCACCUCUGGAGCCCUCCCGCCCCCUCCCGCUAUCGCGGCGUCUCGGACAGCCCUCACCUGUCGGAG
rnacentral:lncRNA from 1 species